rnacentral:rRNA from 1 species
GAUGAACGCUGGCGGCGUGCCUAAUACAUGCAAGUCGAGCGAACAGACGAGGAGCUUGCUCCUCUGACGUUAGCGGCGGACGGGUGAGUAACACGUGGGUAACCUACCUAUAAGACUGGGAUAACUUCGGGAAACCGGAGCUAAUACCGGAUAAUAUAUUGAACCGCAUGGUUCAAUAGUGAAAGACGGUUUUGCUGUCACUUAUAGAUGGAUCCGCGCCGCAUUAGCUAGUUGGUAAGGUAACGGCUUACCAAGGCAACGAUGCGUAGCCGACCUGAGAGGGUGAUCGGCCACACUGGAACUGAGCCACGGUCCAGACUCCUACGGGAGGCAGCAGUAGGGAAUCUUCCGCAAUGGGCGAAAGCCUGACGGAGCAACGCCGCGUGAGUGAUGAAGGUCUUCGGAUCGUAAAACUCUGUUAUUAGGGAAGAACAAAUGUGUAAGUAACUAUGCACGUCUUGACGGUACCUAAUCAGAAAGCCACGGCUAACUACGUG